AAAAAUGAAUUUCUGUCUAUCUGAACCUUAUAGACUCCAAAACUACUGAACCGAUCGGCGUGAAAAUUUGUAUGCAGAGGUUUUUUGGGCCGGAGAAGGUUCUUAAGCUGGUUCGAGACCCCUCCCUCACAUAUAUACUCCAUCGACGUCAGGAAAAUGACUCUCACCUCUGGAUCCGACAAAUCGUACCCUUCAACACAAUGCCAACGGCGCCAAGUAGAAUCCCGACUACUGGGAAGUGAGACAGUCCCUGGACUCUGCCGUACUACUCAACUACCGGCGCUAUCAUUUAAAAUCGAUCUAUUAAAUUCGCUAUUGAAUAAAAAUAAAUCAGCCUAUUUCAUCGGGUUGUGUUUGUUUUCCGUUUAAA